UGGCGCCAGCCGUAUCGCACGGUAGCUAUGUCGAGCAUGGAUAAACGCUGAAUGCAUCUAAGCGUGAAGCCAGACCUAAGAUAAGUAUUGCCAGUGAGACUCGUGGAAGACCACCACGUUGAUAGGUCGGAGAUGUAAGUGCAGUAAUGUAUUUAGUUUACCGAUACUAAUUGUCCCAAGGCUUGACCAU
rnacentral:rRNA from 1 species